ACAGCAGUCGCCGCGGUAAAACGAGGGGGGCAAGCGUUGUUCGGAAUUAUUGGGCGUAAAGGGUGCGUAGGCGGCUUGAUAAGUCUUGUGUGAAAUCUCUGGGCUCAACCCAGAGUCUGCACAGGAAACUGUCGGGCUUGAGUAUUGGAGAGGUGAGUGGAAUUUCCGGUGUAGCGGUGAAAUGCAUAGAUAUCGGAAGGAACACCUGUGGCGAAAGCGGCUCACUGGACAAUUACUGACGCUGAUGCACGAAAGCUAGGGGAGCAAACAGGAUUAGAUACCCGCGUAGUCCCUGUCUCUUAUAC
rnacentral:rRNA from 1 species